rnacentral:rRNA from 1 species
UACGUAGGGGGCAAGCGUUGUCCGGAAUCAUUGGGCGUAAAGCGCGUGUAGGCGGCUCGGUAAGUCCGCUGUGAAAGUCCAGGGCUCAACCCUGGGAUGCCGGUGGAUACUGUCGGGCUCGAGUCCGGAAGAGGCGAGUGGAAUUCCUGGUGUAGCGGUGAAAUGCGCAGAUAUCAGGAGGAACACCAAUGGCGAAGGCAGCUCGCUGGGACGUGACUGACGCUGAGACGCGAAAGCGUGGGGAGCAAACAGG